rnacentral:rRNA from 2 species
UUCGCAAUGCCCGAAAGGGUGACGAAGCGACGCCGCGUGGGUGAGGAAGGCCCUCGGGUUGUAAAGCCCUGUCAGGAGUUAAGAAAUAUAAGUGCGCUAAUAUCGCAUUUAUUUGACGAAGGCUCCAAAGGAAGCCACGGCUAACUCUGUGCCAGCAGCCGCGGUAAUACAGAGGUGGCAAGCGUUGUUCGGAAUUAUUGGGCGUAAAGAGCACGUAGGUGGGUUUGUAAGUCAGACGUGAAAGCCUCCUGUUCAACGGGAGAAUUGCAUCUGAAACUGCAAGUCUUGAGUGUAGGAGGGGAGAAUGGAACUUCUGGUGGAGCGGUGAAAUGCGUAGAUAUCAGAAGGAACGCCGGCGGCGAAAGCGAUUCUCUGGCCUAUUACUGACACUCAGUGUGCGAAAGCUAGGGGAGCAAACGGGAUUAGAUACCCCGGUAGUCCUAGCCGUAAACGAUGGGCACUAAGUAGAGGGGUUUU